rnacentral:rRNA from 1 species
GAUGAACGCUGGCGGCGUGCUUAACACAUGCAAGUCGAACGAACCUUCGGGUUAGUGGCGGACGGGUGAGUAACGCGUGAGAAUCUGCCCUCAGGAGGGGGACAACAGCUGGAAACGGCUGCUAAUACCCCAUAUGCCGCGAGGUGAAAUGAAUUUCGCCUGAGGAUGAGCUCGCGUCUGAUUAGCUAGUUGGUGUAGGUAAUGGCUCACCAAGGCAUCGAUCAGUAGCUGGUCUGAGAGGAUGAUCAGCCACACUGGGACUGAGACACGGCCCAGACUCCUACGGGAGGCAGCAGUGGGGAAUUUUCCGCAAUGGGCGAAAGCCUGACGGAGCAACGCCGCGUGAGGGAUGAAGGCCUCUGGGCUGUAAACCUCUUUUAUCAAGGAAGAAGAUCUGACGGUACUUGAUGAAUAAGCCACGGCUAAUUUCGUG